UACGGAGGAUCCGAGCGUUAUCCGGAUUUAUUGGGUUUAAAGGGUGCGUAGGCUGGUUUUUAAGUCAGCUGUGAAAUACCGACGCUUACCGUCGGCACUGCAGUUGAAACUGGGAGCCUUGAGAGUGCAAGAGGCAUGCGGAAUUCAUGGUGUAGCGGUGAAAUGCAUAGAUAUCAUGAAGAACCCCGAUUGCGAAAGCAGCAUGCUGGGGCAUAUCUGACGCUGAGUCACGAAAGUGCGGGUAUCAAACAGGAUUAGAUACCCUGGUAGUCCGCACAGUAAACGAUGAAUACCAGCUGUUGGCGAUAGACAGUCAGCGGCGUAAGCGAAAGCGUUAAGUAUUCCACCUGGGGAGUACGCCGGCAACGGUGAA
rnacentral:rRNA from 1 species